rnacentral:piRNA from 1 species
UCUGAGAGCGGUUCAAAAAAG